UGACCACUUAGAUUGCUUUGUAACCUUGUUAUAAUAAUAUCUGCAAAUGUCACCCAUGAUUAAAUAAGGAUCUCAAAGAGGAGAAGAGGGCCAAAAUCAUAACAGAUUCCAAUUAAAUCUGUAUAAAUAUGAUACUAAUAAUGAAAAAAGAAAAAUCAUCAUGCACUUUUUUCCCUCUGGAGUGGUGAACUCCUUCCAGACUGUUGAUGCAUCAGCCCUCUCAAUCGCUGUCAUCAAUUCAAAAGGCUUCUCCCAACUAGAUUGUUUU
rnacentral:misc_RNA from 1 species